GACGAACGCUGGCGGCGUGCUUAACACAUGCAAGUCGAACGUGAUUUUUAUGGAAAUUCUUUCGGGAAUGGAAAUGAAAUGAAAGUGGCGAACGGGUGAGUAACACGUGAGCAACCUACCUUACACAGGGGGAUAGCCGUUGGAAACGACGAUUAAUACCGCAUGAGACCACAGAAUCGCAUGAUAUAGGGGUCAAAGAUUUAUCGGUGUAAGAAGGGCUCGCGUCUGAUUAGCUAGUUGGAAGGGUAAAGGCCUACCAAGGCGACGAUCAGUAGCCGGUCUGAGAGGAUGAACGGCCACAUUGGAACUGAGACACGGUCCAAACUCCUACGGGAGGCAGCAGUGGGGAAUAUUGCACAAUGGGGGGAACCCUGAUGCAGCGACGCCGCGUGAGCGAAGAAGGUUUUCGAAUCGUAAAGCUCUGUCCUAUGAGAAGAUAAUGACGGUAUCAUAGGAGGAAGCCCCGGCUAAAUACGUGCCAGCAGCCGCGGUAAUACGUAUGGGGCGAGCGUUGUCCGGAAUUAUUGGGCGUAAAGGGUACGUAGGCGGUUUUUUAAGUCAGGUGUGAAAGCGUGAGGCUUAACCUCAUUAAGCACUUGAAACUGGAAGACUUGAGUGAAGGAGAGGAAAGUGGAAUUCCUAGUGUAGCGGUGAAAUGCGUAGAUAUUAGGAAGAAUACCGGUGGCGAAGGCGACUUUCUGGACUUUUACUGACGCUCAGGUACGAAAGCGUGGGGAGCAAACAGG
rnacentral:rRNA from 1 species